rnacentral:misc_RNA from 1 species
AAUCGUGGCCGUAGCGGGAGUCGGUGGGUUAGCUGUUUUGAUGGGGAGCCUGAGCAAACGGUGCGCCGUGUCGUGUUCAUUUGGCAUUGGCUGUGCAAUCGGUGCCUAGUCGGCAUUGAACGUGCAGUUGGUGCGUGUGGGAAAAGGGUUGUUCACGGCACGGCAGGCUAUUUGUGAUGGCAAACCAUGACACGGCGAGCUUGCCGCAUCUAGGGUGCCUUCGUGCCUAACGGGGCGUGUUUGGGCGUUUUGGUUGCUAUUUGUUGCUAGCAUUGCCGGAAUGCAUUGUGUGGCAACGGAUGGUGGCCUUUUCGUUCGGGCAUCGUGUACGUAUGGUGCGUGAGUGGUGAUCGGCUUGUAUGGGCACGUUGGAUCCCUGCUUAGGCAGCGACGGCGUGCCCAUCUAGCCUCUUCAGUUGGCGGCCCAAGUGCGUGUUAGCCUUGGCCGUUCUCGGUUUCCUGUGUUGCAUACCUAUCGCGAGGGCAUUCAUUCGGUUAAAAACGUCCCAUUUCCGCCUUGUGCUGGGCCUCUUGGGGCUGCGGUGCGGGGUGGACCUCAAAGCAUCCGCCGUGUUCCACUUCCCGUGCGUUCUCGCACGUGUUCGGGUUGUUGGCCCAUGGCGUCAUGCUCGAUCUCUUGGCUGCGGAAAAUCGAGUGGGCACGAGGCCAACGACCUCUAUUUGCCCCGAAACAAAGCAUCCUAUGCUUCGUGCGAACGACGAUCGGUGCCACUUUUGGUCGAGUCCUCGUGGCUUGGAUCAUGUGGUGCCGGCGCCGAUGAGGAAUGCU